rnacentral:lncRNA from 1 species
GGUAACUUCCUGGCGAGGAAAGCCACAGCAAAACUUACAGUGGCCAGGCAGCUCAUGUAGAUGAGGACACAGUAAAACAUUGUCACAGACCCUUCAUUACAUUCUAGUAUAAUUUCUUCUGUCAUUGAGUGCAUGUCCACAUCUGGGUAUGGGGGAGAGGUUGCCAGCCACACAGUACAUAUCCCUGCUUGAACUAUGGAACAGGAAAGGAGAAUGGAGUGGCCUAGUUCUUUCCCCACCCAUUUCCUCAUCCUGGAUUCUGGUUUUGUAGCCAUGAAGGCCAAAACCACCAUGAAGGUUUUUGCCAGGACACAAGAAACAGCGGUUGAGAAGAUGAUACCAAAAGCUGGUUGCCGGAGGAGACAUGUGACCUUCUCAGGUCGGCCAAUGAAGAGCAAAGCAGAAAGGAAGCAGAGCAGGAGAGAGAUGAGGAGAGCGUAGGUGAGGUUUCGGUUGUUUGCAAUGACAAUGGGUGUGUCAUGGUGCUUCAUAAAUGUACCUAGUACCAGAACUGUGAUCAGAGAAAGGAAAAGAGAGAAGCAGGCUAAACUGAUGCCCAAAGGUUCUUCAUAAGACAAGAAGCUGAUAUCCUUGGGUAGACAGGCAUCACGGUUCCGGCUUGGAUAGUCUUUGUCUGGGCAUUUAUUACAGUCAUUCAUAUCUGGGGGGAAACAAAUAUAUUAGGUCACAGAUUUCAGUUUGCUGAAAUGUUUACUUUCUGUCUGAGAAGAAAAGAGCUCUGUUUAAAUCCAAGUACAUGUUUAGUACAGUCUUAUGCAAUGCAAUGUGGUAUUGUUGCAAUCUAACCUUUCUCUGUGUCAUGGAUAUGCCACUAAAGCACAUGAGACCGUGAGGGGAAAAGUACAGUGGUACUUUGGGUUACAUACGCUUCAGGUUAAAUAUGCUUCAGGUUACAGACUCCGCUAACCCAGAAAUAAUACCUCGGGUUAAGAACUUUGCUUCAGGAUGAGAACAGAAAUCGCGCGGCGGCUCAGCGGCGGCGCGAGGCCCCAUUAGCUAAAGUGGUACUUCAGGUUAAGAACAGUUUCAGGAUAAGAAUGGAUCUCCAGAAUGAAUUAAGUAUGCAACCAGAGGUACCACUGUAGUCCAAAAUGUUUAAUUCUGCGCAGAAGGUUCAACUGGGAAUAAUUAACCUAACUAACCUAAAACAACUAAACGUCGUACAAAGACUUCGAAACAGUUUUAUACGUUUGGCACAAAUUCCACACAUUCCAUUAAGUUUAAAUUUCCUAUCCAAUUGAAACGCUUUGUUUCCCUCACCCUAUUUCCUCUUAAGGCACUUUGUUGUCUCCUUAUGAUUGGUCCAAAUUACAAACAGUGUAAGCAUGCAUACUGACUCCCAGUUUAAAUAAAGGAGCUUCCUCGUUUUCUGCUAAAAUUUUAUUGCAGAAUUAGAUUUCCACUUCAGUAUUUUAUUUCACUCUAGUUACCGUGAAUAGUCUGACCACAGUCCAAGCAUGCUCAGUAUGUCAAAACCUUAUAUGGUAUAAUUAUCUGUAUUUAAUUACUGCCGUAUUCUUGAAUUUAAUUGGUUCAGAGGUAUGUUGUCCUGUAAGUGCCACAGCCAGUGCCAUUGCCAUCUGAAUGUUUAUUGACACUAGCCAGGGUGCAGCCUGUGUAAGUCAGAAGGAGUGCCACAGCCCCCUCUAGAUAUGCUCAGGACGCAAGGUAGAAAUGUGCAAAGAGAAAGGCAUGAUCCGGAAACCAAUAUCCCCACUGUGGAAGGACAUGUGGAUUCAGAAUUUGCCUCCACAGUCACUUAUGGACUCAUUGUGAAAACUUUGCUUAUGGAAGACAAUCUUACUCGGCUAUGAGUAAUCGAAGAAGCAGAAGAGGGAUCAUUUUUAAGGGUGCUCCUGGUUGCGGUCAGGCCCCCAACCCGGCCCCCCCCGGCGUGGGCGGAGCAACGCCAUCAUGCCAGGGUGGCACCACGAUCACCCCAGCUUUUUGGCCAAUCAUUUUUCUGUGGGGUGAUUGUGGGGGGAUAUAAAAGCUGCAGCGUGAGGCGUGUCAGGAACCUGCUUCACACUGCUUCACACCCACCCUCCCUUUAUUUUAUGUGUCCUCUGGCCUUGCUUUGUUUUUGGUUGGUCACCUGUCUUGGGCCCGGGGCCAGGUAGGAAUGUUUCCAUUUGGCAGAUUGGCAAUGGCCACUUGGCUUUCGCCUACCUCUUAGCAAUCGUCACAACUUUGUAAGGUUUGGUGGUUAGGCAUUGGCUCAUUGAUUUGUGGGGGAGGGGAAGCCAGCCAUCUCCUCCAACUCCAUUGACCAAGGGUAUUCCGUUAAAGGAUUUCAGGGCCUGGUUAAAGGAUUCCAGGGCCAAUACCACUCACAUUUAGUUGUGGCCUAAAAUUUUGCCCAAUAACCUUAAAUAAAGAUUCUGUGUCAGUGUGAAUUUUAUUCUAACAAGGAGCUGGUUUGGGGGUCUUGCCAUGUCAGAAGAAGAAGAAGAAGAAGAAGAAGAAGAAGAAGAAGAAGAAGAAGAAGUGCUUUGGACCACAUACCAUCCAACUACUCUCAAUGCAUGGUCAUUCUCAUUUGAUUAGCAUAUUUAACUAUCUGAAAGGCAAUGAUCACAAAGAGGCAGGAUCACACACACAGUAGAUUAUCUCUUUGGAAAAGUAAACUCAGCCAUCCUUACAACAGCUUUCGAUUAUUAGUGCUGAGUCUGAAUGUAUUUAAUCUAUUUAUUUCUCCUACCAUCCUGGAUUGCAAUCUUUCCCUCUGCACAUGGGAUGCAAUCGUAGCAGCAAGGUGGCUGUCCCUCCUUCACUUUCUUGCUGGAUCCUGGAAGACAUCUCUCAGUACAGAGAGAAAGAGGCCGAGUCUAUUCCGUAAAUGAAAGAGCAGAAGGAUCAGCAAGAGAACAAUGAGUUUGGAAAUCUUCAUGUUCCUGGGCCCCUCUCUAUGUUACGAAGCUGACUCAGCAUUCCAACAAUAUGUAAAAUGGUUUUAUUUUUUUAGUACCGUGGUACCUCGGGUUACAUACACUUCAGGUUACAUACGCUCCAGGUUACAGACUCCGCUAACCCAGAAAUAGUGCUUCAGGUUAAGUACUUUGCUUCAGGAUGAGAAGAGAAAUUGUGCUCCAGCGGCGCCGCAGCAGCAGGAGGCCCCAUUAGCUAAAGUGGUGCUUCAGGUUAAGAACAGUUUCAGGUUAAGAACGGACCUCCAGAACGAAUUAAGUACUUAACCCGAGGUACCACUGUAGUAGUAAUGUUUGAAGUGAUGUCAUACUCCCUCUAUUGUUCUGGGAUGUGUAGGUGUUGUGAUUACAUAGCAGUUCCCCACUUUUUAGCAAGAAAGGCAAAAUCUUGGGGCUUAUCCUCUUUUCCUCAGUUAAAAACCAGUAUUUUAUAAUUGUUAAGAAAUAUUUAUAAAAUAUUUGUAAAUAUAAUAAAAUAAAACAUUUGCCUUUAUUCCAUUAGUGACUUCUAGCAGUAAGCUUUUGGCUCUUAAUCUGGUACUUGGAUGAUGAAGAAGAAGUGUUUGGAUAGGAUAUCCUACUUUAUCACUACCCUAAGGAGUCUCAAAGCGGCUAACAUUCUCCUUUCCCUUCCUCCCCCACAACAAACACUAUGUGAGGUGAGUGAGGCUGAGAGACUUCAGAGAAGUGUGACUAGCCCAAGGUCACCCAGCAACUUUAUGUGGAAGAGCGGGGACACGAACCCGGUUCACCAGAUUACGAGUAUACUGCUCUUAGCCACUACACCACACUGGCUCUCUGUAUGCAUUGGUCAUGUUCUACACAGGAACAUGCAGUUUAAAAGACAGACAGUAGACAUGCAGGUGAAUGAUCAUUGCUUAGGCAAUACUGAAUUUCUUUGGAAUGAUCUAAUAAUGUGGUCCUACCUGAUUAAACCAACUGUGCCAUGUUAUGGCAUCUUCAUCAAGGAUGAAGGAUUGGUCUGGAGAAGCCUGCGGAUCUAUCCUCCCAACUCUCACUCUAUGCAAACUUUGGUUGGAGAAUAUAAUCCAAUUGACAAUAUCUAAGCUAGAUACCACCUCUCCAUUCCGGUUGAUGAAGACCACAUCUCCGGCCGUAUUGUUAAAUGAGAUGCUUCUCAGAAAGUGAUGGAGCUAGAUUGAAAACAGAAAAGGCAAUUGUUUCGAAAAGGCUGCAGUCUAAUGCAGGGUGGAGCAUUUUUUUUUCUUCCUGUAGGAAAAAACGACAGAAAUUGGUGGGGGUGAUUCAGUCAAGUGUCAGUGGAUUCAGGUCAAAGAAUGGAGAGAACACCAAUUUUCUCUUUCCCACACCCCUCUCUCUCCCUCUCCCCCUUUUUUACAACCUUUCUUUAUCUCCCCCACCCCCCACCUCUUUUCCUCUGUCCCUCUUCAUCUCAGGAGACACCACAGUGGUGUAUGAUCACAUGAUCUGAGGGAAGACUUGGAGCAUAUGGGAUAGAGAUAAUGCUGAACAUCUCUCUCAACCAUUACUGCCGCUUCUUAUCUUUGAAUGCAGUAACAUAUCAGUGGUCUGCAAACUUCUUUCAUAGAAGCACUUUUUCAUGUCUGAGAUGAAGGAGCAAGUUGACAACACUUUGGAAACCAAUCCCUUGUGGGGGAAUAACAGGCCUCUUCAAAUUGAGAAUGUUUAGCCUAUGACCUGCCAAAACUGUGGAUUCUGAUUCUUCCCUCUCCGUCCGUACGCCAUUCCUCUGUGCCUAAGUCUGAAUGUGGACAUGGCAUGUAAAGCAUGGGCCAAGGCGUAGACAGCAUUGUGGAUACUGUAACUGUGGCCUGUCAUGCUCAUUUCAAAAAAUGAUCCAGGAAGGUUCUCCAGCUUCUCUUCUCCUGUGCAAAUAUUCCCCUCCACCUUGUCUGAAGUGAUAUCUGGGAAUACACAUCCAAAGGCCUGUUGCCAGAAGUCCCUGAUAAAACCGUCCCCAUCUGGGCUGGAAGGGUUUCUGUGAACAACAUACUGAUGAAAUCCUGGUGGGUUUCUGAAGUGAAUCUCAAAGGAUAAAGUACCAUUGAAUAUUCCUGCAUCCCAGUUCCUUUGAAUGACAAAUGAAGUGAACUCAACAUGGGCAGUUGUUAUCCAUACUUUACUUUUUAUAUUGUAUGUCAUGUCAUCAUGUUCUGAUAGGUAUGGAAGCCAUCUAAAAGUUCCCAUGGAAUAAGAUUCUCCAUGGGCAACUAUUACAUUAGCUGUGCUGCUAAAAAUUUUAUGGUUUGUACUUGUCCCGUGUUGUAGCAUGCCAUCAAUUUCAGAAAUAAAACUUAAACUGGGGAUUCUUUCUAGGAAUGCAAAACACACACCACUCUUGGUAAAUAUUGGGGAAAUGGUUUGCAGAAAUCUUUCUCCAUUGUCAUUGUCUGUUGCAAUGACUCCAAUCCAUGUCCACCUGAAAUGCAGAAGCAAAGAGAGAAUUCCCUCAUACUGAAGGGCUUCUGAGGCUGCCAUCUGGUAGAAGGGAAGCCCUGGGCUUUUAUCAUUCAUCACCGGAGCAGAGCCAUAAAUGAGCUAAAAAGUAAGUGGAGGAAGAGAAGAGACAAAGUAGAUUCCUUUCACAGUAUUCAUAUACAUUAUGUGGUGAACCCUGUUAGUCUAAUACGCCCUUUGCUAAUGUUUCAGGGUUUGUUUGCCUCUCUCUUAGUUUUACAAAAGAAACACAUGCAGAUGGGCUGAAAACUGGGAUCAUCUCCCUUUUCUUAUUUUUAAACCUUUAAUUUGAUGACUGGAAAGGGAACUGUGUCUGUUUUAUAUUAUUUUUAGGAAUCUUUUUAACACACUGAUGACUGGAGCAAAGCAUUGUGUCUACUUCACUUAAAAACAAACAACUUUUUUAUGUCAUUGGAAAAUUUGGCAUGGUCUUCUAAAAUGCAUAAAACUGAAUGGGGGAACAUACCCUGCCACAAACAACAGAUUUCCUGGACAUUAUCUGGCUUUGUCAGAAUUGCAAGCAAUUUCCCUUUUCCAACAGCAACUCAUCUAACUUGGGUUAGAUGCACAUUUCUUCUCUGGAGCUUCGUCUUUCUUCUUCAUGAUGCACAUGUCCCAUCACACAGCAAAACUGUGCUGAUUCUUCUCAGACUUUAUUUAUGAACAUUUAUUUCACUUGUGAAUCAGCUGCUAACUAGUUUUACUGUUCUCCUGAAGAACUGGAUUGUAUCUGCAGUUUGCAAUAACUUCUCUAUAUCUUUAAUUAUGUCCAGUGGGCUAAAGAGGAAUAGUUAUUGUACUGGCUCCUACCUGUAAGGGUUUUGUAGCUGUAAGCAUUUCCCCCACUUCCCCAGCUUAUUUGACAUGCCCUCCUCACUAAUUUUUCCACUGGCGCCUAAAAUCUUAUUUCUUUUAUCCAGUAAGCAAUUCCCCCCUUUACUCAGCAGCUCAAUUCAGAUACCCUCCUAACUAAGCAGAAAAUGAUGCAUAACCAAAAACUGCUGGUGAGAGAGAAGCCCACUCUCCCAUCAGUGGCAUUUGUUAUAUACUGUAAGUGAUCUAAAUAUGUGUGUAAGACAGGGGAGAGUUACAUAUUUUUUCAGCUAUUGCAACCUUCCCCUUUAUUCAGGUUUGUCUGUCUGUCAGUCUGAAUGUUUGGUUAUAUUACAAUUAUGUACAACCUUUAUUUUCCAAGGAACUCAAGGUGGUGUACAUGGUUGUCCUUCCAAUUUCAUCUUCACCCGGAACUGAUGCUGAGGAACCUGCCUCUUCCUCUAUGCAAGCUAAUAGAGGUAUUGUACAUAGGUGUCCUACCUGCGGAAUCUUAUAGAUAUCCAAAAUAGUUGCCACAUAAAAGGAGAUUUCAGAAUCCAGUCCCCCAAUGACCCCUGCCAGAUAACUUUCAACAUCACAUAUAUAGUUAGGGACAAAUUUUUCCACCAUGGAUAAAAGCAGCAGUGUGGCAAGACAUGUGCUCCUUGCAUUGUUAUAGCUGUCAUAUAAGUGGAAGCCCAAGGUGAUAUUGGGUAGGAUGUGAGAGUCUUUGUUGAUCUCCUUGACUGCAAAUGCCAAGGCCACAAUGUGCUGGUAAAGCUUAGGCACCACCCUAGAAUGAGAGUUGCAAACUGUAUCAGCAGGAACUUCAAAAGAUGUAUCCUUUUACAUAUCAACAGAGUAGUUAAUCAUAUUGAGUUCAGUGGGAUUAACUCUCUCUUUUUUUUUUAAAGAAUAUUUAUUCCAAUUUUAAGAUUACAGAAAAAGAAAAAAGCAAAAAAAAAAAAAAAGAGAAAAACAAAUCACAUACAUCCUACACACACAAAAAAACACCACACGGUACAGAGAAAAAUACAGAAGAGAAAAAAUCACAAUACAAAAGUAACAAAAAAUCAAAUUAAACCAUUAGAACCGUUUUCCCAUUUACUUAUUUCCGUGACUUCCUCUCACUUCUCUGCUUUGUAUUCUAGUUCAAAUCGUAUCUCCAGCAAACCCUUCUAACCUUCUUUUCAUUUACUUAUUUUAACAUUCGAAAAUAUUUAAUUCUCCUCUAUCUUUUAUUUUACACUUCAUAUUUACUUAUUCCAUUAUACUCUGUCUGCCAAUACGGUCUAAUAUUCUUCUCCAACCUUUUCUAACAUUCUUUUAUAUUACAGUAUUUCUGAAGAUAUGUUUUGAAUUUUUUCCAAUCUUCUUCCAUCGACCCUUCUUCUUGAUCUCGAAUUCUGCCGGUCAUCUCAGCCAGUUCCAUAUAGUCUAUCACUUUUCUCUGCCAUUCUUCUCGGGUAGGCAAUUCUUGUGUCUUCCAGUAUUUCCCAAUGAGUAUUCUUGCUGCUGCUGUCGCAUACAUAAAGAAAUUCCUGUCUUCCCUUCGCACCAAUUGGCCGACCAUGCCCAAGAGGAAAGCCUCUGGUUUCUUCAAGAAAGUAUAUUUCAAUACCUUUUUUAGUUCAUUAUAUAUCAUUUCCCAGAAGGCCUUGAUCUUUGGGCACGUCCACCAAAGGUGAAAAAAGUACCUUCAUUUUCUUUACAUUUCCAACAUUUAUUAUCAGGCAGAUGAUAAAUUUUUGCUAGCUUGACUGGGGUUAAGUACCACCUGUAAAUCAUUUUCAUUAUAUUUUCUCUUAAGGCGUUACAGGCCGUAAAUUUCAUACCUGUGGUCCAUAACCGUUCCCAGUCAGCAAACAUAAUAUUAUGCCCCACAUCUUGCGCCCAUUUAAUCAUAGCAGAUUUAACCAUUUCAUCCUGUGUAUUCCAUUUCAACAGCAGAUUAUACAUUCUUGACAGAUUUUUGGUUUUAGGUUCUAACAAUUCCGUUUCCAGUUUAGAUUUUUCCUCCUGGAAACCUAUCUUUUUAUCUAAGUUAAAAACCUCCCUUAUUUGAUAAUAAUGCAGCCAAUCUCGAACUUUAGUUCUUAAUUUGUCAAAGCUCUGCAAUUUUAGUUUAUCUCCGACUUGUUCUAAAAUUUCGCAAUAUUUUGGCCAGUUUGUCUCCAUAUUUGUUUUUUUCAAAGCCUUAGCCUCCAUUGGUGACAGCCACCUUGGUGUUUUACUUUCCAACAAAUCCUUAUAUCUCACCCAAACAUUAAAUAAUGCUUUCCUGACAAUAUGAUUCUUGAAGGCCUUAUGCGCUUUGACUUUGUCACAGUGGGAUUAACUCUCAGUCUGUUCCACUAUUGAAUAGCUCUUAUCAUUAGAAGGUUCUCUCUGAUGUUUAUUUGAAAUCUCCUUUCUGGUUACUUGAAAACCCUGAUUUGGAGCAAGAGAAAACAAGCAUGUUCCAUCUUCCUGGUGACAGCUCUUGAGAUAUUUGAAAAUGGCUAUUAUUCCUCCCCUCAGUCUCAUCUUAGAUAAACAUACUAAACCCCUCAUCCGUUCUUCAUAAGGCUUGGUUUCCAGACCAUCUUUGAUGCCCUCCUCUGCCCAUGUUCUAGCUUGUCAAUAUCCUUCUUAAAUUGUGGUGAUCAAAACUGGACACAGACUUCAGGUGACCAAGGCAGAAUAGAGCAGUACUAUUAUUUCCUUUCAUCAGGACACUAUACUUCUGUUGAUGCAGAUCCCUUGAACCUUUCCACAUGUACUACUGGCAAGCCAAGUUUUACUCAUCUUAGAUUUGUGUAUUUGUCCCUAUUGUAAUUCAUGUUCUUACUUUUGUCCAAGUUUUAAAAUGUUUUAAGCUUAAUAGUAUCUAGAUCAGGGGUUGCUAAUGUGGGGUAAUGGGAGGUUUUCCCUUACAUGUCUGAGGUCUUUUUCUGACACUUACAAAGUCUCUGGUCUCUCUGGUCUCUCCCUGCAGUGACUUCGUUUUCGUGAGUCAGUGAUGGUCGUUGGAAUUCACUGAAUUCUAUACUUACUAAUAAGUACCUUUCAGUGCUGAAACAAAGCUUAGUCUAAGUUCAGAUUAUGAAAGCAUAAGGACAUUCAGCUUCAGAACAGGUUUUUAAAAAUACAUUCUUACUAAUACUCUAAUAGUUUAGGUAAAGUCUAGCAAAAUGGGCUGCUCAAAAGGCCUCUCCUAGACACACAAACAUGCAUACAUUUCAGUAUUCAUUUCUCUAUUCAGAAAUGGGAAUUUCUCCUAUAUUCUCUUAAUUCACAAGACAUUUGUUCCAUUUUAUUGCACCAGCAUAAGUCCCAUUCAUAUCUAAACUGGAUUCCCCCAGGUAAAAGGGUAAACAUUUGCUGCCUCACUCAUUAUUCUGAGGCCGCAACUCUAGGUUUGAUCAUUCCUUUGAUGUAAUAAAAUGAGUGGCUUAGUUCUUACACAAGCUCUUCAGGCAGUGCUGGUGGGGGUUCCUCAGUGAAUGUUGCUGGAGAGGAGAAGAAGCCACCAUGGAAAACAAUGCCACCAAUGAGGAACUCUCCUGGCUGAUGAUAUGUGUGAAGUGGAUGUUUUCGACCAUGGAGCCUGCAUUUUGCUAUGUGAGCCUCACAUAUAUUGUAAGAAAUCAGUUCAAGCAGCAAGAUCACUAAAAACACCAUCCUUAAUACAAAGGCAACUAUUUGUUUUAUGCAGAAACUAUGGUUUUUUCUGGCAAUACUACAAUAGGUUUCUCCAAGAUAAAAAUUGUCUCAUUUAAAUAAUAGAUUAAUUUCCCGAGAGGACACAAUACGGGAGUAUCCAAAAUUAGACUUGCUGAUCCCAGACAGUAUUUAAAUAAUUCUGGUUAAGUUGUAGUAUCCUUUGUGUUAUGUUGCCAGUGGCCAGAGAAAAUACACAGGGAUUUUUGAGGAGCAGCAUAUUAAUUAUAGCCCUGUUAAUAACCAAGCAGGAGUGUAGUUGUUCAUCCAAUGCUCGGGAUUCCCUGUGGAAGUGCAGAAGAAAAUUGCUGAAGAAAAUAUUCAGAACUGUUAUUUUAUUUUCCCUUUCAGAAGAUGAUAAUAGACCAGUGGUGUAUGGGUGAAAUGAGAAGUUAGAAGACCUUGUAGCCAAUGAAGACUCCAAAAUGAAGAAUGGUGUAGUCAGCAUCUUGGAAUUUGGCUGAGUGGACCUGGAUUCACACCAGCCAUAUGGCAUGUCUGCAAUGGCUGCUCAUUGCUGUUCUGUGGGAUUACAGUUGUGUCCCCUGGCUCUCAGCCUCCUUCCCCUGUGCCUUGGGAAUGCAUGUUUGCUCAAACCCUCAAGGGCAAAUGCCCCUGUGAUUCUGGAGAGGUUGAGUUGGUGCCCCAGGUCCUCCUGUAUGACUCCUUUUUAUUUUUUUUUAAUAUGUAUUCUGCUUCACUUCCAGUAGGGCAAGGGUUGGAGAUGUGUGGCACUCCAGAUGUUGAUGGAUUCCAAAACCAACCAACCCCAGCCAGUAUGGAAAAUGGUCAGCAAUGACGAGGGCUGUAGUCUAGCAAUAUCUGGAGGACUAUAGGCUUCCCAGCCAAAUUUUAGAGGAUUAAAAGUACAUAACAACAAAAGAAAUAAUAUGUCUGCCUGUGUUUUUAUAUCUGCUGUAAGCCACUCAAAGUGGCCGGGGAAACUCAGCCAGGUGGGUGGGUUAUAAAUAAUUAAAUUAUUAUUAUUAUUAUUAUUAUUAUUAUUAUUAUUAUUAUUAUCAGUCCUACUUCCUUCCAUUCCUGUCUCCACUUGAAUACCCUGGACCUUCUGCAAGGAGGGCAUAAUCUUACAGACAAAUCUUACAGACAAGCAGAUAACAAGAAAAGAAAUAAUAUGUUUUACUGUGUUAAAGUGGUUGGGGAACACAGCCAAAUGAGUGGGUUAUAAAUAACAAAUUUAUUACUAUCAUUAUCAUUAUUAUUAGUCCUACUUCCUUCUAUUCCUCUCUCCACUUGAAUACCCUGGACCUUCUGCAAGGAGGGCAUAAUCUUACAGACAAUACUUAACAAGCAUAGUCCACAGAUGUCCACAGAGAAAUAAAUGUUUUAAGGUUUAAUGGGGCUUACUCUGGUUUACUUGCAUUCUCCAUUCAUCAUGGUUAGAUCUAAUCAAUUUUAUCUGCUCAUCAAACAUUUGAUGAAGGGUGCCAACAGUCAGUGGAAUAUCCAACAAUAUACUUGUCACAUAUAUGAUACGUAUAUGUAUUAAGUAUAGAGUGUUCUGAUACAUCACAUGUGUUGGUGAAAUAAAACUUUUCAAUUGUUGCUCCCCAUCUGUCAAAUGCGUUGCACAGUGAGGUCUGCAUGGUCCUUUGCUGUCAUCUUUUCCAAGGACCAGAGGGCAGAAUUCAUUUACAUUUUCUUGUCUAGGACUCUGAAUUUCUCCAAGGAGACAUGAUUCAGAAAAAAUCUUGUGGGGAGGGGAACCCAAUUCAAUGGCGAGUAUGUUAUCUCACAGUACAUUGAUAAACUAUGGAACUCAAUGACAUAGGAAACAAUGGUGGGGACAGUGCAUUUGCGGCUUGACAGUUUCCCACAGGCAUCUGGUUGGUCAGUGAGAGUUCAAGCUGCGGGACCAGAUGGGCCAUUGGCCUGAUUUAAGAGGAUCAUCUUCCAUUUCUAUGAUCUUGGUUAUGGAUAGGUUGAUGGUGAAAUAUGACUGUUAGCAGAACAGAACAAUAAUUCAUAAAUGAGUAUUCGUAUGUUCGAUGGCCACAAUUGUACAGUUUCACAGAUCCUAUUAUGUUGAAAGCUGUAAGACAACUUUGAUCAUUCAGAAUUAAGGACAGAUAAAGAUUUCCUUGCAUAUAUUUUGACAAGAAUUGUUCUGAGUCUUCUUGUCAGCACAUGCUACAAGAGAAUAAUGAAUGUGUAAACAUAAGAUUCUUUUCUUCAAAGCAGAUAAGUCAGUUUUACAAAUGAAUUUUCAACUAUGGGAAUUUGGAUUCUAGAAAAAAAUAUAAAAGGCAGCAGCUGAACUUAUAUUUCCAAAUAUUCUACAGUUCACAGAGAAAAGCACGAAAGACAGCAAAGGGCAGGUUUAUUAUUUCUUUAAUUUUUCUUCCUUAUUAGCUGUUCUCUAUUGUUCAGCUCAGGCCUCAGAAUAAUUAUAUAACAUUUGGGGGAAAAGAUGCAACCCAGCAACCCACCACCGGAGGCUAAGAUGGAGAAGAUCUCCACAGCUACCAUGUAUUUUCCCUUGGUGCUCAGGUAGGAGGGAAUAAAGGACAGCCAAACACUGCAGAAGACCAACAUGCUGAAAGAGAUAAACUUGGCUUCGUUGAAACUGUCCGGUAACUUCCUGGCGAGGAAAGCCACAGCAAAGCUUACAGUUGCCAGGCAGCUCAUGUAGAUGAGGACACAGUAAAACAUUGUUACAGACCCUUCAUUACAUUCUAGUAUAAUUUCUUCUGUCAUUGAGUGCAUGUCCACAUCUGGGUAUGGGGGAGAGGUUGCCAGCCACACAGUACAUAUCCCUGCUUGAACAAUGGAGCAGGAAAGGAGAAUGGAGUGGCCUAGUCCUUUCCCCACCCAUUUCCUCAUCCUGGAUUCUGGUUUUGUAGCCAUGAAGGCCAAAACCACCAUGAAGGUUUUUGCCAGGACACAGGAAACAGCGGUUGAGAAGAUGAUACCAAAAGCUGGUUGCCGGAGGAGACAUGUGACCUUUUCAGGUCGGCCAAUGAAGAGCAAUGCACAAAGGAAGCAGAGCAGGAGAGAGAUGAGGAGAGUAUAGGUGAGGUUUCGGUUGUUUGCAAUGACAAUGGGUGUGUCGUGGUGCUUCAUAAAUAUACCUAGUAGCAGAGCUGUGAUCAAGGAAAGGGAAAGAGAGAAACAGGCCAAACUGAUGCCCAAAGGUUCUUCAUAAGACAAGAAGCUUAUAUCCUUGGGUAGACAGGCAUCCCGGUUCUUGCUUGGAUAGUCUUUGUCUGGGCAUUUAUUACAGUCAUUCAUAUCUGGGGAGA